UGGUAACCCUUGGUCAACGCCGAAUUCUCCAGGGCGCUCUCCUAGCGUCCUUCAGGCGCUUCCGGCCGUAUAAAAAAUUGAACACCACACGUAAUUCACACCGAACAGUAAAAGAACGUUUAUUUUCUUAACACUUUAUAUUUACAGGACUUAGAAAUAUUCUUACAAGGGAGCGCGCACCGUGCGCGUCCCUUCCUGGUCACGGAAAUUUCUAGCAGAGCUGGUUUUGUUAGAAUCCUGCUAGAAUGAUUCUAGCAGGCCUGCCAGAAUUCUGUAAGAAUUUUCUUAGAGCAUUCUGACAGAGCAAAAAACUGUCGAAAUGACGUCAUUUUCGCCAAACCGCACUGUGACCGCCAUCUUGUCAGAAAUCUUGCUGGCAAAAGUUUUAAUUUGUUAUCUAGUCGACUAAAAACGUCGAUUUGGUGCCGUUCCGUUGGUUAUCUGGCCACCCGGAGUUCGGCGCUACUUGCAUUGGAUUUUUCCAGAAGAUUUUCCCCCGGAAGAACAUCACCAUCCAAAAUCAACCUCCACUCCGGCAGCUGCCUAACGGCAUCCUCUCAGGAAUGCUCCUAAGCAUUACGGGAUGCUUCGAGAUGGUCGUCGGAUUCGGUGCUUCCGCUCCCGUCACAGCAGUUUGGAUUUCAACUCAUGUUGUCUCGCCAUCGUCGUGCAGUCAACUCCUCCAGGAGAUGCCACCAAAGCCGCCAUGAGUGAAAAGUUGCAGAAUCCUUGAAGAAUCAUCCGAAGUGAAGGGAUUGGCAGAAAACCCAGGUGUGAAAGUGUUUGUAUGUAAUAAAAGCGUUAAACAUCUUGUUUUGUUUCACGAAAUUAAACAGAAA